rnacentral:rRNA from 1 species
CAAUAGCGUAUAUUAAUGUUGUUGCAGUUAAAAGCUCGUAGUUGGAUUUCUGACAGGAGCGACCGGUCCGAGCAUUCGUGUUCGUGUUACUUGUGUUGUCUCUAGUCAUCCUUAUGGAUAACUAUCGUGUCAUUAAGUUGGCAUGUUAGGGACCCAUAUCUUUUACUGUGAAAAAUUAGAGUGUUCAAAGCAGGCAAUCGCUGUGAAUAUAUUAGCAUGGAAUAAUAAGAUAGGACAUUGGUACUAUUUUGUUGGUUUGCAUACCAAGGUAAUGAUUAAGAGGGACAGUUGGGGGGUAUUCGUAUUUAUAUGUCAGAGGUGAAAUUCUUGGAUUUUAGAAAGACGAACUACUGCGAAAGCAUUUACCAAGGAUGUUUUCAUUAAUCAAGAACGACAGUUAGGGGAUCGAAGACGAUUAGAU